GCUACAAAAGCUUUGUGAUAAGGUAUGCACCAUGCAUUCUCUUUUUCUGUUUUAAUUUUGUAUUAUAAUUAUUUUUAUUAAUUGUAAAAAUUAUUUUGACUAUGCCAUCUGACAAAUGAGGGUUUUAUGAAAGAGGAUAAAAAAAAGCAACAUCCUAAUUGUACCAUGCAGCACUUUUGAAAUAAAGGUGGAUCCUUGCGGAAUUCUAAUAUAUCAUGAUGCCAAAUGUUAUGCAAUUUCAUCGUCAACAUUUUAAAAUAAACUACAUGAUAAGUUGGGAUGUUUUAAAGUUUCUCUGAAAAUGGUACUGUGUGAACGCUACAAAGAAAUAGAGUAAGAGGAUAAUCAGAGAAUGUUGUUAAUAAAAGGUUUCCUAUAUAUAUAGCACGUGAAAUUGUGUUACUGUUGAAUGCUUCAUCAAGAUAAAGCUUGGGCAUUAUCAUAUGCUGCUUCUGAUUAGCUGUAACAAAUCAUAAACUGCAUAGGCUACUUUAUCCUUCUUCAUUACCUUGACCUUGAUCCUUUUGCCUUUGCAGGACUUUAUGUUUUUAUUUCACUUUGUUGUAUAGAUUGAUUAAUGUCUCUGCAUAUAUUGGAGCUGUUCCUGAUUGACAUGGCAUCCAUUCUUGUUGAUUUUCUUGCCCAGAGAAGUGAUGCUUCAGUUUGACACCAUGCUAUACACAUUUAUGAACUUAUUUUUCUCUAAAAAAGUACCAUUCUGAAAAUUUUGUAUAUCUAUUUCUUACUUCCAAUUAAGAAACUUAAAAUGCUAAUGAUAUUUAAUGCAAUCGUUGAAUAUUUCUUAAUUUUUUUACAUCCUACAAAAUUUAGGUUAACACCUUUUUUAGCUGAAUUUCUGUUUGAUGAUAUGUGAAGGUUCCCUCAUUUCCAGAUGAU
rnacentral:misc_RNA from 1 species